rnacentral:rRNA from 1 species
GACGAACGCUGGCGGCGUGCUUAACACAUGCAAGUCGAACGGAAAGGCCCUGCUUUUGUGGGGUGCUCGAGUGGCGAACGGGUGAGUAACACGUGAGUAACCUGCCCUUGACUUUGGGAUAACUUCAGGAAACUGGGGCUAAUACCGGAUAGGAUCUCCUGCUGCAUGGUGGGGGUUGGAAAGUUUCGGCGGUUGGGGAUGGACUCGCGGCUUAUCCGCUUGUUGGUGGGGUAGUGGCUUACCAAGGCUUUGACGGGUAGCCGGCCUGAGAGGGUGACCGGCCACAUUGGGACUGAGAGACGGCCCAGAAUCCUACGGGAGGCAGCAGUGGGGAAUAUUGCACAAUGGGCGGAAGCCUGAUGCAGCAACGCCGCGUGCGGGAUGACGGCCUUCGGGUUGUAAACCGCUUUCGCCUGUGACGAAGCGUGAGUGACGGUAAUGGGUAAAGAAGCAACGGCUAACUACGUG